GACAGAGGGUGCUAGCGUUGUUCGGAUUGACUGGGCGUAAAGGGCGCGUAGGCGGUUAUAUUAGUCAGACGUGAAAGCCCCGGGCUUAACCCGGGAAUUGCGUUUGAAACGGUAUAGCUAGAGACCGGAAGAGGAAAGCAGAAUUCCUAGUGUAGAGGUGAAAUUCGUAGAUAUUAGGAGGAAUACCAGAGGCGAAGGCGGCUUUCUGGUCCGGUUCUGACGCUGAGGCGCGAAAGCGUGGGGAGCAAACAGG
rnacentral:rRNA from 1 species